AACGUACGCUGGCGGCACGCCUAACACAUGCAAGUCGAACGAAGUAGCAAUACUUAGUGGCAGACGGGUGAGUAACAUGUAGGUAUCUGCCCUUUGGCCUGGAAUAACACGAGGAAACUUGUGCUAAUACCGGAUAAGUCUUUACGGAGAAAGCUUUAUGCACCAUUGGAUGAGCCUGCACUUGAUUAGUUUGUUGGUGGGGUAAUGGCCUACCAAGACUGUGAUCAAUAGCUGAUUUGAGAGGAUGAUCAGCCACAUUGGGACUGAGACACGGCCCAAACUCCUACGGGAGGCAGCAGUGGGGAAUCUUGCACAAUGGAGGAAACUCUGAUGCAGCGAUGCCGCGUGAGUGAAGAAGGCCCUUGGGUUGUAAAGCUCUUUCGUCGGGGAAGAAAAUGACUGUACCCGAAUAAGAAGGUCCGGCUAACUUCGUGCCAGCAGCCGCGGUAAUACGAAGGGACCUAGCGUAGUUCGGAAUUACUGGGCUUAAAGAGUUCGUAGGUGGUUGAAAAAGUUAGUGGUGAAAUCCCAGAGCUUAACUCUGGAACUGCCAUUAAAACUUUUCAGCUAGAGUAUGAUAGAGGAAAGCAGAAUUUCUAGUGUAGAGGUGAAAUUCGUAGAUAUUAGAAAGAAUACCAAUUGCGAAGGCAGCUUUCUGGAUCAUUACUGACACUGAGGAACGAAAGCAUGGGUAGCGAAGAGGAUUAGAUACCCUCGUAGUCCAUGCCGUAAACGAUGUGUGUUAGACGUUGGAAAUUUAUUUUCAGUGUCGCAGGGAAACCGAUAAACACACCGCCUGGGGAGUACGACCGCAAGGUUAAAACUCAAAUGAAUUGACGGGGACCCGCACAAGUAGUGGAGCAUGUGGUUUAAUUCGAAGAUACGCGCAGAACCUUACCAACACUUGACAUGUUCGUCGCGACUCUAAGAGAUUAGAGUUUUCGGUUCGGCCGGACGAAACACAGGUGCUGCAUGGCUGUCGUCAGCUCGUGUCGUGAGAUGUUGGGUUAAGUCCCGCAACGAGCGCAACCCUCACUUUUAGUUGCCAUCAUUAAGUUGGGCACUCUGAAAGAACUGCCAGUGAUAAGCUGGAGGAAGGUGGGGAUGACGUCAAGUCCUCAUGGCCCUUACGUGUUGGGCUACACACGUGCUACAAUGGUAUCUACAACAGGAAGCAAGACUGCGAAGUUAAGCAAAUCCCUAAAAGAUACCUCAGUUCGGAUUGCACUCUGCAACUCGAGUGCAUGAAGCUGGAAUUACUAGUAAUCGUGGAUCAGCGUGCCACGGUGAAUGCGUAUCCCGGGUCU
rnacentral:rRNA from 1 species